AACUAACGCUAUUAUUG
rnacentral:misc_RNA from 1 species